GGGCUCCUCCCCCGCGAGCAGCGGCGCUUCCCCGAAGCCCGCCAGGUUCGCGAGCCCUGUUGCUCCGCAAAUUCCACCCCUGCAGAGAAAGGGAGGCCGACGUGCAGUUUGGCUUGGAGGGAGGAGAGGCUGGACUUUUGGGAUAAUGUGAGAUAAAUGGGUCUGAAACCCGAAGGCCUGAGGGGAGGGGUACUGCAGGUGGGGCUGGCUGAACCCCCUCUCUAGGCCCUGAGAUGACUGAAGCUGACCAGCGAGCACCCUGUAUGGGGAUCAGUCUUGCCCAGCCUCUUGGCUCUUGUCUCCUGCCCAGAGCGUCUCUACCAAGGGUAGACCUGAGUUUUGGUUGAGUCGGCCCUGGAGAGGCAGUGGUAGGUGGUCUGACUCUUUCUGGUAGGUUCCAGACAGGGGAAAGAAAGAGGAGUGUCCCAAGUCUGUUCUGCGACCUUGUAAGAGGCAUUCCAGGCAGCACCUAAUACCUACCAAAUUCAAGUGACUUGUUAGCCGCAAGGCAAUGAGCUAUUUACAUGUUCUGUACUGGCCCUGCCCCUCCUCUUGGAGGUGGGAACUAUCUUAUUCUGUGUGCAGCUUUGUCAACGACCAGCAAAACACCUGACACAGAAGGUAAGUAAUAUAAAGCUGUUGACUAAAGGCAACUAAUUAAUAGCCAACGGACCCCUCCGGCCCCAUGCCAGGCACUGGGAUUACAGCAGCACCACAGCAGCUUCAUUAUUGACGGAGUAUGUGCUGUGUGAGCCAUGAUGGGCUGGGAGCCUCCCCUGAAUACUCACAAGCUAGUGGUGAUAAAAGCCAGGUACUACUGUGUCUGUGUCUUGAUGGAAUACCACCUCAAAGCCAAUGCGGAUUUAAGCUGGAUAUGAAAGACCCACAAGCAAGAACCAUCAUGCUAAAUAGAGAAAACAUCAUUGACAAUUGCCUUGAUAAUAAUGUGCACCAUACAAUGUUCUCCUUUGUUAUUAAAGCACAAGCAACUUCUUCUCUGUGAUUUCAACUACUUAUGACUGUUUUGCUUUCUUGUGUGCAUACAUAUUGAAGAGCUUUCUCAUUCAAAUUUUUCCUUUCCCCAUCUAAAUUUUCCUUUUUGAGCUAUAGCUAUGCACCCAAAAAUGCAGAAAAAUUUCAACAUUUUAACAUGUGCAACCUGUCUGGCAUAGUUGAAUAGGUAUUUCUCAGUGCCUCUCUCCCCAAAUAGUGCUUUCCUGUGUCAACAAUAACUGCCCACUGAACUACGUCUCUCAUUAACAUCUCUUCUUUCUCCUCUAAAGCACCAAGUUGAGGCCUGCUUCUCUCUUCCUUAAAGCUUCCAGACCAAAAGCUCUACUCCUAGUCUGCCAUCUACUUUCCCCGCUUAUUGUUCCAAACUCACCUACCUUCCUCCUUGCUGGACAGACCAGGGGAGUCUUGCAUCUUCAGGUGUCUACCUUGCCCACAAUUCCCUUUGGAUGGGGUGGUCCACAUCUGCUUUUCCCUCCACUAGCUCCUGGGGCUUCUGCCUGUGCAUUGAGGGAAAUCAGCACAGCUCCUCUGGACACAAUGCACUGGGCUAGACCAUUGCUAAUAGAAUGUUCUGCAGUGAUGUUCUUUAUCAGUGCUAUCCCAUACGGAGCUAACAGGGCAUCUGACAUGUGACUAGUGAAUGGAGAAUCAAAGCCUUCAUUUGAUUUAACUGAUUUAAAUUUACAAGUCUCAUGUAGCUAGUGGUUAUCCUCCUAGAAAGCAGACCUAUAGACUCAGCUGUUUGAUGUCCCACGGCCCUGAAAUUUAACUUAAAAAAAAAAGGGUGAAAAGUUUGCUAUGCUACCUAAAAGCAGACCAAAUCAGAGAGAAAGCCAGAAGCAGCAGGGCCAGGCAUCUUCUGCAGGGAGGUCGGCAGGCAUUUUCUGGGCAUUCUGGUUUAAUCCAGUGGGAUUCUGUACGGCCUUUAGCUGAUCCCAUGCUACUUUAACAUGGCUUCAUAGUGAGUCCUAACAUCUGGCAAGUAAAAAUGCCCACCCCUCUGUUCUUUCCUUUCUGAGAUGUCCUAGCCUUUUGCUCUCCUUUAUCUUCUACUUUAGAAUCACCUUAACAAGUUCCAGGAGAAAACUUGGUGGGAUUUUGACUGGAAUUAUCUGGGGACAAAUGACAUCUUUAUGAAAUUGUCUGCCUAGCCAAACAUGUCUCUCCCUAUUUUUUUGAGGGCUCAGUUACUAUCUCAAUAAUGUUUAAGAAUUUUUUUCUUAAAGAGGUGAUGAUCAUCAUACAUUGUUCACUUCCUAGGUACUUGGUAUUAAUACUAUUGUAUAAGGUUAUCUUCUUGUUUUCUAGUUGUUACUUCUGUAAACAAAUGAAACUGGCUUGUGAAAAUUAAUGCUACAUCUACUAACCUACCCAAACCCUAUUAUUUCUGGUAUUCUCUUUAGACUUACUUCGGUUUUCUAUAAAAACUAACAAUUGUAAUGUGCAAAUGAGUGUUUCUACUACUUGUAAAACUUUUUCUUGACUUACUCUAUUGGCUAGGCUCUCCAACACAAAUUUUGAAUAUAAGCUGUGAUAGUGG
rnacentral:lncRNA from 1 species